CAAAAAAAAAUUGCAAUGGCCACCGCAGUUAGCGUCGGCGCAAAAAUGCCGUCGCCAUUGGUCAUAAAUUUGCUACGGGAAACAAGGCGUCGCAAAAUUAAAAUUGGUUUGCGACGGCAAAUUAACGCCGUGGCAUAAAAACUGAUACAAUUGCGACGGCAUCUUUAAUGCCGUAGUUAAAUUUGUCCCGAUUCUUGCUACGCUAUAGUUGCCGUAGCUUUUUUUAGUUUUCUUCAGGUGCAUUAGUUGCCUUUUGUUAUUUUUAUUUUUCAUUUUUAUUAAGGAAAUGGUUCCCAUCGGUGUGACGCUCACUCUCUAAACCCCUUCUCUCUCUCAUCUUCUCCUUUCUCCGGAUACGAUCGAUGACUUCGAGAGGGGCGUAGAGCGGAGCCCUCUCUCUCCCGCCGCCCAAAAAUCUCUGUCGUUGAUUCAAUUCCGAUCUAUACUUGCAAAUGGCUCAGAUCGACCUCCAUCUUUACCUCCUUGGCGGCUCUCUCACAUACCAAAGGAAGCCAUGGCCACAGUGCAUGUCGUAUCCUGCCCUCCCCGGCUUGGCAGCGAAUCGAAUUAGGUCGAGUGUAUUCUCGCAUAGAUUCACAUGAAAAACCCAGUCCAGACUAUAUGCUGCAACAAUGGCUGUAGGGGAGCCCAGAGCACCAAAGUAAUAAAUUCACAUCUCCAUGUUUGGGCUU